rnacentral:SRP_RNA from 1 species
UCGUGCUAGACGGGGAGCUAGCGGUGCCCUGUACCCGCAAUCCGCUCUAGCGGGGUUGAAUUCCCCUUCCAGGCCCGGCUCUUUGGGACUGGCCCCGUCAAGCGGCGUUGAUGAUCGGGUCCCAC